AUGCAGCUGUUAGAGAAGCAUUUGAUGUGGCAUACGAUAACAUCUAUGCAUUUCAUGCUGCGCAAAGAUCGGUUGAGAGAACCGUUGAAAACAUGAAAGGUGUUAAAUGCAAACGAGUGGCAAGGACCAUUACCUCUGUUGGUCUUUAUGUUCCUGGGGGAACUGCAGUUUUACCUUCGACGGCUCUGAUGCUCUCAGUUCCUGCACAGAUUGCUGGGUGUAAAACUGUUAUUGUUGCAACCCCCCCUGCUCAGGAUGGAAGC